GUUUUCAGCGAGGGGAUGAUAUGUUACGGCCACGUGAGCAACGCGUAUAUAAUAUCAUAUUUAUAUAUAUAUAUAUAUAUAAUUAAUACGCUCCCCACGUAUAAAAUAAUAUCAGAGUCAUGGCGUAUUUAUUCGGUCACGCCUUUACUAGCUGUGACAUAAAACCGGAAAAUUACAAGGGGAAAUAAUUGAUAAUGCGGUAAAUACACGCGAACCGGCUUAACCAUAAAAAUUGAUAACCAACCUGUAAAAUUUCACUAUAAAAGUCACACACCCCUUUUGUGAACUAUCUAGACGGUACGAUUUUACUGGGAAAAUUUGACCAGAGAGCGUAAAAAUAUUUAAUAGUGAUUAUUGGUCCCAUAAUGUUUUACCCCACCUCCCUCCCCCUAUGGUCAAAUAACACGGGGACCAAUAAUUAUCACCGGAUUAUGCGUAUUGUUUGACGAAUCGUAAUAUUAUUGUAUUACCUAUACAGAAUUCCAGCCGGGCGUGUAUUCAAACAAUCUUUUAAUGAACUGCCGCUAGA